UCCGGUUUGUACCGGCGGUCUCCCUAGACGUGAUAACUAGGGACAAGGGUUGCGCUCGUUGCGGGACUUAACCCAACACCUCACGGCACGAGCUGACGACAGCCAUGCAGCAUCUGUGCUGGUUCUCGACUUUACGAGUCGUUCCCCUUUCGGGGUUCUACUUCCAGCAUGUCAAGCCUAGGUGAGGUUCUUCGCGUUGCAUCGAAUUAAACCACAUGCUCCACCGCUUGUGCGGGCCCCCGUCAAUUCCUUUGAGUUUCAGCCUUGCGGCCGUACUCCCCAGGCGGGGCACUUAAUGCGUUAGCGCCGGCACCCAGGGGGUCGCUCCCCCAGGCACCUAGCGCCCAUCGUUUACGGCGUGGACUAC
rnacentral:misc_RNA from 1 species